AGACAGGUGUCCGAGCGGUUUAAGGAGCACGCCUGGAACGCGUGUAAAGUUAAAAGCUUUCGAGGGUUCAAAUCCCUUCCUGUCUGCCA
rnacentral:tRNA from 3 species